rnacentral:rRNA from 1 species
UACGAAGGGGGCUAGCGUUGCUCGGAAUUACUGGGCGUAAAGGGCGCGUAGGCGGCUUCUUAAGUCAGGGGUGAAAUCCUGGAGCUCAACUCCAGAACUGCCUUUGAUACUGGGAGGCUCGAGUCCGGAAGAGGUGAGUGGAACUGCGAGUGUAGAGGUGAAAUUCGUAGAUAUUCGCAAGAACACCAGUGGCGAAGGCGGCUCACUGGUCCGGUACUGACGCUGAGGUGCGAAAGCGUGGGGAGCAAACAGG